AACCUACCCAACCUCUUUUUAUAGGCUGCUGACUAACUUAAUGAACCAAAUGGAUUAAAAUGGUGCAAGAGAAAAGGGCAUUUUUACACAAAAGGAAGCAUUUUCUGUGUUCCAGUUCAGCUGUUCCAAUGACAUUUGGUGUUGUUAUCAGUGUGAAUUAACUGACGCAUCAACCAUGAUCUAGCAUUUGCAAGAUGUGUAAUUACUUUGACUUUCAAGAAAACAUCUUCUGAUCUAAGGAACUUCCCAAGAUAUCAAACUGGCUGGCUCAGGAAUACUCUCACAGGGAUGGCAGAAGAGCAAAUCUGGAAGUUCAAACACUCAAAUGUGUUGUUGGAUUUCUGCAUGCAUCACAUGGGCUAACAACUGGUCAAAGCAAAUCACAUGGCCAAACUAAAAAUCAAAGGCCUGGAAAUGUACCAUUCAUACUUCUACUGCUGUAGAGACGGGUUCACAGGUAGGUAGUGACUAGGAACAGACAAAAUGCUAUAUUGAAGGUUACAGAAGAAUAAAGAAGUUCUGAAUAGCACAGAAGCUUUCAUAAGCCAGGGGUUACAAUGACCAGCAGUGACUCCACAAAACCAUUUACUCACAAGAGGAAAUAUGGCACGGAUUGGAUUAGAAGUGGAAAGACUAAUGCAUUUUUUGUCCAUAAGGAUUAGAAGAAAAAUGGUUCUCUCAGCUCUGCAAAUGAGCACAACAAGCAAUCCAAAAGCAUUAUUUGUGUGAAGCAGUUUGUAGAAUUUGUUCCAUUUGUCACUAGAACUAGUGUUUGAAGCUCAGCAAAAGUUGAGUUAUGGUUAAGCCCCAGGGUCAGUGGCCACAUGUUCAGAGCAGUACCUUAGGUUUAAAGCUGAUUCACAACCUGAAAAACACUCAGUGGUGUUCUCUCCCAAAUUAUCAAUCAUUAACUUGUGGUGUCUUAAAAAGAGGGUAGAAGAUUGCUUGACCAGAAAAUAAUGACAA
rnacentral:lncRNA from 1 species